UACGGAGGGUGCAAGCGUUAUCCGGAUUCACUGGGUUUAAAGGGUGCGUAGGCGGGCAGGUAAGUCCGUGGUGAAAUCCCCGAGCUUAACUCGGGAACUGCCAUGGAUACUAUUUGUCUUGAAUAUUGUGGAGGUAAGCGGAAUAUGUCAUGUAACGGUGAAAUGCUUAGAUAUGACAUAGAACACCAAUUGCGAAGGCAGCUUACUACACAGUUAUUGACGCUGAGGCACGAAAGCGUGGGGAUCAAACAGG
rnacentral:rRNA from 1 species